rnacentral:rRNA from 1 species
UGAGUAACCUGCCCUUCACUCUGGGAUAACUCCGGGAAACCGGGCUAAUACUGGAUAUGACUCGAACAGGCAUCUGUUUCGGGUGGAAAGAUUUAUUGGUGGAGGAUGGACUCGCGGCCUAUCAGCUUGUUGGUGAGGUAAUGGCUCACCAAGGCGACGACGGGUAGCCGGCCUGAGAGGGCGAUCGGCCACACUGGGACUGAGACACGGCCCAGACCUCCGUACGGGAGCA